AUGCCGUGGUGUGGGCAUGCUGCAAUGUAUUCUUGAAGACGUUCCCAGGCUUCUGGGACUAUUUCAUCCUAGAGUUGUUGAAAACUGGUAAUCCUGUUUUGAGGGCAU